AACCUCCGCAAUGUGAGAAAUCGCGACGGGGGGAUCCCAAGUGCCAUUCUUAACGGGAUGGCUUUUCAUUAGUGUAAAAAGCUUUUGGAAUAAGAGCUGGGCAAGACCGGUGCCAGCCGCCGCGGUAACACCGGCAGCUCUAGUGGUAGCAAUUUUUAUUGGGCCUAAAGCGUCCGUAGCCGGUUUAAUAAGUCUCUGGUGAAAUCCUGUAGCUUAACUGUGGGAAUUGCUGGAGAUACUAUUAGACUUGAGACCGGGAGAGGUUAGAGGUACUCCCAGGGUAGAGGUGAAAUUCUGUAAUCCUGGGAGGACCGCCUGUUGCGAAGGCGUCUAACUGGAACGGUUCUGACGGUGAGGGACGAAAGUUAGGGGCGCGAACCGGAUUAGAUACCCGGGUAGUCCUAACUGUAAACGAUGCGGACUUGGUGGUGGGGUGGCUUUGAGCUGCUCCAGUGCCGAAGGGAAGCUGUUAAGUCCGCCGCCUGGGAAGUACGGUCGCAAGACUAGAAUUUAAAGGAAUU
rnacentral:rRNA from 1 species